CCCCGCUGCCCGCCCCCACCCACCGUGGGGGGCUCUGGCCUAUCUCCUGGGGGCUUCGUUCCUUUGAGGAGCAAUUCUGGGAGGACACCGGCUCCCGGGGAGGGCCCCACCAUGGGAAGCUCCUCCAAGACCUACAUCCAGGGCUGUGCGCGGCCAGAGCUGCCUUCUGUGUCGGGCACAGAGGGUUGCCCCCCUUCCACUCACUGUGGACUCAAUGCUCAUCUUUCCAGGGCGCUCCACACCAGGCCCUGCCACGGUAUGGUUCGCCGGUGACACACCAGCUCUGGGAGGCAUGCAGGGCAGGUGGGACGAUAAUUUCCAUUUUAUGAAUGAGGAAACUGAGGCCCCAAGAGUUUAAGCGCCAUGGCCGAGAACACCAUGAGUAAGGAGUCUGGACUCCAAGCUCCAGGAUCUGGCUGUAGCCCUGCCCUGCCCACCCUCCACUCCACACUCCAGCCGGAAGGAACGACGUGCAGUUCUGUUUUAGAAUAAUUUUAGAUGUGCAGAAAACUGGCAAAGACAAAACUGGGAGUUCCCAUCCACUGCUCCACCCAGUGUCGCCUGUUGUUAACAACCUGUAUCACCGGGGUACCUUGGUCCCAGCCAAGAAACAAACAUUGCAAACAGUUGGGGGUGCCGCGGGUGGUCCUCACACCCUGCCGCUCCCUCCUGAGCAGCUCCUGGAAUGCAGAGGGUACUCUGCAAAGAGGCUGGGGACAAAGAAGUGAACCAGAGCUUCAGGAAAGUCACCUGGAUGUAACCCCAGCACUGCGGUCAGGAGGUACAGAAGACCCAGGGUCUGCCUUCAGGAGCCCCCCAGCCUGUGCAGGAGGCACCCAUAUGGCCUGGCAUGGCUCCUGGAUGACCACGGCCCACAGAGCUCCUGCCAGGCCCACCUGUCUGUACACAGAGGAUGUCCAAGCCUGAGGGUGGGAUGUGGUUUCUGGACAAGGCCUCUACCCCUGUCUGCCAGGCGUGGCUUCUAUUCUUUUCUGCUAGAGGCAGGAGGGUGGCCAGGUUAUGCCUUAGCCUCAACUCACCUCAGCCAGAGGAGGAGGCUAUUUCCCAGACUUCUUUGUCUCAUCUGUACCUCUGUCCACAGCAAGCCCUAGAGGGCAACUCGUAGCUAUUGGUCCAGCCUACCUUCUCCCCAUCAAAGGAUCUUCUGCUUCCCUCUCAGCCUCCCACCAGUAUCACAGAGAACUUAUCUUGUGCCUCCUCCCCACCUCUGCUAGUUGGCCUCACCCCACACUUUCCCCCUGGCCUUGGGCACAGGGCUGGGGCUGGAAGGGGCUGAUGCCUAUGGCAACAACCCAUCCACCUGAGAAGCUACUCAUCCUGGCCUGCCGCUGGUCAGUCCAGCCACCCCCCUGCCUCAGCGCUGCCAAGCUCAGGCAGAGAAGAAAAUCCCAGUGGGGAAAGUGCCUGUCAUUCCCAAUGUCUGUUCCUCUGACCAUGGGGCCACGGUCUUGUGGCCUCCACCUUGGCUGCCUGGGCCCCCAGGUCAGAGAGGACAGGGCAAGGACAGGGCUCCUGGGGGUGGUGAGGAGUGGUGGAGGGGAAGGGUGUACACUCCUGCUCCAGGGUGAGGGGGAGCGUGUCCCCAGGCCACCCCACCUUGCAGGGUCUGCAGCAGGAAGCCCAAGCCCUGGGGGACACGGCUCGCAGCCCCAUGGGGCACAAGCCCAGGAGAAGCUGAGGAGCUGGCCAGCCCGGGGGGCGGGGGCCUGCAGCGUCGCGGCCGGCUGCUGUGGCACGAGAUGA